rnacentral:tRNA from 1 species
GGCAUGGUGGCCAAGCGGUAAGGUGUUGGUCUUGUAAACCGAAGAUCACGGGUUCAAGCCCUGUCCGUGCCU